rnacentral:rRNA from 1 species
ACGUACACUCCUGCGGGAGGCAGCAGUGGGGAAUUUUGGACAAUGGGCGAAAGCCUGAUCCAGCCAUGCCGCGUGCAGGAUGAAGGCCUUCGGGUUGUAAACUGCUUUUGUACGGAACGAAACGGCCUUUUCUAAUAAAGAGGGCUAAUGACGGUACCGUAAGAAUAAGCACCGGCUAACUACGUGCCAGCAGCCGCGGUAAUACGUAGGGUGCAAGCGUUAAUCGGAAUUACUGGGCGUAAAGCGUGCGCAGGCGGUUAUGUAAGACAGUUGUGAAAUCCCCGGGCUCAACCUGGGAACUGCAUCUGUGACUGCAUAGCUAGAGUACGGUAGAGGGGGAUGGAAUUCCGCGUGUAGCAGUGAAAUGCGUAGAUAUGCGGAGGAACACCGAUGGCGAAGGCAAUCCCCUGGACCUGUACUGACGCUCAUGCACGAAAGCGUGGGGAGCAAACAGGAUUAGAAACCCUGGUAGUCC